UUUGGUAUGGUAAAUAAAUGUAUCAACUGGUCCCGUUCAAUGACAGCGACUCUCAUUAAGCAGUGCGUGGUCGUGUUUGGGUAGUCGACCAAGAAGCAGAACAUACAUACCGCACCUGGGUGAUUGGCGAUUCUCGCCAUGGAUGGCAUGGAGUUCUUCUUCGAGGAAUCUGGAGCAGGGCUUGUACCGCGUUUCGAUGCCGGAGUUGUCUUAAGAGAUCUAGUUGCCGGCGCACAAUUGGCUGAGGGCGACACGAGUGGAACUGGCGAUGCCUAGGAGGACCUGAUUUCUUCUAUGCCGAUAAGACCAGCUGGAGGCCGCAUGGAUUACAAAGGGGGCGAGGAUAUUGGUGAAACAGUGCGCACUGGGAGGGGUGUGUGCGGCUCGUAUGAUCUUGGCGGCGAAGGGAUGGAUGAUUCCUGCGAGAUAGACGAUUCAUAUAUUGCGUCUGAUGCCGGGAACGAGGGUGCGGACGAGGAGGGCGUGGGAGUAACCAAUACGAAUCAAUCUUCUUGGACCAGGAGGGUCAGAGUUGGGAAGGCAAAGGAUGAGAGGGAGCCGAGCCCUUCAAGGAUGCCUCCCCUUGAAGCUUCUGUCCGUGCAUAUGUCGAUAAAAAAUCAGGAAAUGUUGGCAAUCCAUCGAUUGGGACUAGUUUUGAUUCUGUCGAAGAAGGCUACGAGUUUUACAAUAUGCAUUCCUGGGAGGCCGUCUGAAUGUACACCGGAAAAAAUGCAUGCAGGAGAUUGUGUAGGCAGAGAAGUGAGAGUGCAAACCACCUACUGAAAGGGUAUGUACCACCAGGGUGCCCCAUGCACUUGUUCAUCAGGCAGUAUGAGAAAAAUGCAAUUUGACCGUGACUCAGAAGAAAGUUACCAGGAGAAAAGGACAAAACUAUGGGUUGUCCUGAAGCAAAAUAUCCCAAAUGAGGUACAUGCAGCGCAGGUUUAUACCAGCGCUGUAUGAACCUGGGUUGUAUGAUCUAGUAGAAGUCAAGCCGCAUUUGGAGUACAUUGCUAGGCACAUCAAAUUUCAGUCGAGGGAAAAGUGGUGCAAGAAUGAGUUUGUGAUCUCCGUGAGCGAGUCGGCUGAUGAGUUCGGGUGCGAGUGUGGGACAUUCGAGCACUAUGCAAUGGUUUGCAGCCAUGCACUUAAGGUCAUGAUACACCUGAAUUUGCAUGAGCUCCCUGCGAAGCAUGUGCUCAGGCGAUGGACUAGAUAUGCAAGAGAUAUACUACCGCCAGAGUAUCUGCGCUACCAGAAGGAUCAUCGACCGCUGAAGUAUUCUUCUCGUCAACGCAACACUUUGUACCUGCUAGCGCUUGAUGCCGUUAAGUUAGGCGACAGCAAUGUGGAAGCAUGUGCAUUUGCUAUGGAGAAAAUGCGAGAUGUCAAAGUGCAGGUCGAGCCAGUUGCCGCCAUGAGGGAUGGGCUUGGUUUGUCUGAUAUAAAGUUGGCUACAUAUUCAGCCGGCUCUGGCAUUGGUAACAAACAGCACUUUGGCCGAACUGGGUCUGAGCAGACCAUUUUGCAAGGAUCAGACGUGUUCCUGACGCCGUCAAGGAAACGACCGGCUGGGCGUCCCACAACUAGCCGCAACAAAGCUCCAUACGAGGAACCAUCAAAAGAGGAGUAGAUUAUGUUAUGUAUGCGGAGUUCAGGGACACAAGAGCACAACAUGCCUUGCUCGGGGGAUGUGCCAAAGGCACCUAGGAAAUCUCCUCGCUGCUCAAAAUGUGGGUUAACAGGGCACAGGAACACAUGCAGCAACCCGGUUAAAGUCUGAAAAAACUUAAUUUCAGUGUUGUUUACUGGUGGUAUGCAUUUGGCUAUGUCACCUUUGUUAUUAGAAACAGUCUCUGGAACGAGCUGAGGAAUAAGAAGACGCCAUGACUACGGUUAUGGGGAGAGGUUCAGAAGAGUCGAAAGCUUUGGUUGUGCUGAAAUGGACACGUCCGCUGCUGUUCUUCUGCGGUAUAAAUAGAUGAUUUCCAAGCGGCCGGAUUCCCAAAACGGUUUGAUCGUAAACCCCAACGUCCGGAUUCCGGUUGGCUGGCUACACCGGCUAGCAGCCUCUGUGAACAUGAGAGCCCGCGCGUGCCCAUGUUCAUCAGUGUGUGUGUGUGUGUGAGUGUGAGCUCGCUAGCACUGCAGAGACAUGAUAGGUAAAUGGAUUCGCACGUCUAGCCAGCUUGCCAGCAAGCUCUGGACGACAUGGGAUGCUACUGUAGAAAAAUACAUAAUACGGUGUGGGGUGUAUAGCUGUGAGCUCGAAUACAUGACAUUAAUGCCACGCUGCAACAGCAGGAUGCGAUUCCUGACGACCAGGAUAGCGAGCUACAUGGAGCUCGGCCUCCAAACAGCAUUUUCACGA